rnacentral:lncRNA from 1 species
GAUCACGAGGCAGCAGGUAACUAGGGCAAGGUGUCCUCGUAGACUUGUAUCCAUCUUUUGGUAGGUGUCUCGCCAUUCAGUAGCUGUACAUUCGUCCGAGUCCCUCCGCUGGAAGUCAAGUAUUCUUUUGUUGUGUAGAGACAAACCUAAUGUAAAUUAUUAAGAUACAUGUUGUAGACAACGUAUAUACACUUGUUUAGUAUGCUAGUAUGAAGUGGAAAAUGUUUAAUAUUCUUUUGAUCCUAAGUUAUGAAAUGUGACUUAGCAGUUUAUGAUGGAAUGAUGAACAUGUCAGAUUAAUAGGCUUGCUUGGGCUUAGUGGACUACGUCCAUUGGGCUCAUGCGCCAGUCAUGACCUGGAAUUUGGGUCGUGACACACAUGUCAUUGUAAAUUAAAUUACACACUCUGGUUCACUGUGUUACUAUAUGUACGAAUUUAUUUUACUUUUACGCUACAAAAAUUAUUUACGGAUAUCUCUAUAAAUAUUGUUUUAUAAGAAAAUGGAAUAUUUUAUUUAAUAUUUUUAUUUU